UCGAUUAAUUUUAUAUCAAAUUUAAAUUUACAUGUAAAUCAUAAAACACAAUAAUAAUAUAUAAAUUAUAUUCUUAUUUUUUAUUAUCUCAUAUAUAAUAUUUAUAUUUAUAUACACACUCAAAUUAUACAUCUACAAAACAUGAGAAAAAGUUGUGAGUGCAGCUCAAGUGCACAAAAAAGAAGAAAAAAAAAAAAAAAAAAAAAAAAAAAAAAAAAAAAAAAAAAAAAAAAAAAAAAAAAAAAAAAAAAAAAAAAAAAAAAAAAAAAAAAAAAAAAAAAAAAAAAAAAAAAAAAAAAAAAAAAAAAAAAAAAAAANNN
rnacentral:lncRNA from 1 species